AUUGAGCGCUGGCGGCAGGCUUAACACAUGCAAGUCGAGCAGGGGAAGGUAGCUUGCUACCGGACCUAGCGGCGGACGGGUGAGUAAUGCUUAGGAAUCUGCCUAUUAGUGGGGGACAACAUCUCGAAAGGGAUGCUAAUACCGCAUACGUCCUACGGGAGAAAGCAGGGGAUCUUCGGACCUUGCGCUAAUAGAUGAGCCUAAGUCGGAUUAGCUAGUUGGUGGGGUAAAGGCCUACCAAGGCGACGAUCUGUAGCGGGUCUGAGAGGAUGAUCCGCCACACUGGGACUGAGACACGGCCCAGACUCCUACGGGAGGCAGCAGUGGGGAAUAUUGGACAAUGGGGGGAACCCUGAUCCAGCCAUGCCGCGUGUGUGAAGAAGGCCUUAUGGUUGUAAAGCACUUUAAGCGAGGAGGAGGCUACUUUAGUUAAUACCUAGAGAUAGUGGACGUUACUCGCAGAAUAAGCACCGGCUAACUCUGUGCCAGCCGCCGCAGUAA
rnacentral:rRNA from 1 species